CCGGAGACAAUCCAGGCAAGCAACGGGAAUGAGAGCCAGUGGCUGCCCAUCAGCUCAUGAGUGAUGACCCCUGCUCUAGUCUGUGGGGGGGGGGUUGAGGACAGUGGGCGCCUGCCUCUGAAAUCUGCUGUUUUAGCACACUGCAAGUCCCAUAGUGCUGCACAGGGGGGGCAGUCUGGAUGGGAGAGGCGAUGCAGUCGCCCCAGCAUCGGCACUCAUGCCUACACACCCCUGGCAGCGCCCGAUCCGUGAUUCACCAUCUCCAGUCACAUAGCCCAAGCCCUGUGAAAGGUGAGGAGAAAGAACAGCAAGAGGAAAAGAAGAGGAUAUGUAACCAAGACUGAAUCUUCAUUCAUUUUAUUUCUACCUAUGACUGUUCCAACUUUUUCCAAAAAUCAUCGGGCGAGAUUAAGAGGGCAGGAAUUUGAUCCCAAGAUUGUCUGGUUCUAAAAUUGAAACAGGACACCUGCAGACAUCAUCUUGAAGAAGGUGCUACAUUCCUGUUCAGUAAAUAGUAUGAGAUGAUUUAGUUAGGAAGUACAGCGUUUUGAAGAGACAUUAACUCAUUCACCGUCAACACAAUGAUCUGAAAUCUUCCAUGCAUUUCAUUGUCAAGAGCAUUUCACAGAAAAGGGUCGACCUCAAUUGGAAGAGAUGAGGAUUAGAUCUUUCAGAACAAAAACUUUGUC